GACUGGUCGCCGGCUGGAUCACCGGACUGGUCGCCGGCUGGAUCACCGGACUGGUCGCCGGCUGGAUCACCGGACUGGUAGCUUUAGUAGGCAGUACUACAACAAAAAUCCAAAUGUUAAGUAGUCACGUAUGCACUUACAUAUUUGCCAGCCUUGCCAGAUAAGAUGAUGUGAAAUUUAACAGUAAUGUGUACAGUUAAUGUGAUAAAAUUAAAUUCUACCUUGAAAUUCUGUGGUGAAACCUAACUGCAAUUAAGUUGUACUGUGAAUUAACAUUGUAUAAUUAUCUGUCGGACAGAAUAAAUUAUGUGACAUCUACUGCAUUACUCUUUGCAGACUCUGCUCUUUUGCACCCCGUCUGCUGAAUCAGUCCUUUCUAACACAAGUACAGAAUGUACGGGGAUCUUUGAGUACAAUAAUAAACAUUUCUGUUUUGGGACUUAACAAAGCCCAAAAUAACCUUAAAACAGAUUUCAGAUGUGAUGGUACAUAUUUAUAUAAAGUGUUGAGAACAUAGUUACUUGAUUAGUUCCCUUUUGAAUAAGGCCAUUUGAGGGGGAAACUACACGUAUUACGUUAGUUCCAAAAUGAAAUCCAUCAAAGCAGUACAUGCAAGAUGAACUAUAUACCUUAUAGCCAGUGCUGGGAGUAAUGCGUUACAAAAGUAAUGAAUUACAGUAACGCAUUACUUUUUGCUGUAACGCAGUAGUGUAAGGCAUUACUAAUCAAUUUUCAGUAAUAUUUUACCCAGUACAUGUUCAGUAAGGCUUGCGUUACAACAAACUUUUCGCCCGCGAGACAUUAACAAAUAAAAAAAGAAGUUCUAUUUCCUGUUCGUGAAUAGACGCGUGUGGUGUCAUUCAUCUCCCUCUGGCUGGUGGAACUUUGUAUUUUGUAUUGUAACGCGGCAUGAUUUCAGCCUCUGAGCUCGAGGUCCGAGGCUAUUGGCCCCGCCCGGUUCGCUGUAAACCCUAGCGCCAGUGUUGCCAGGAUCGCGGGUUUUCCCCCCACAAUUGGGUUAUUUUGAAAAUGCAGUUGCGGGAAAAAAUUAUGGAGUUGCGGGUUUUUGGGCUACUUUCAUAAUGUACUGCGGCCGCCAAAAUGUUUAUUUAUAUUCUAAGGAUAAAUGUUAGUUGAUGAGAUUCUUAAUGUGUAUUCAUACUCAGAUGAAUACCUGGCAACUCCAGGACCGGGACCAGUUCUCGAAAGUGUGGUGAACGAGCGUCUGACAGGCAGGCUACAGUACAGGGAGGGACGCGGGAGCUCAGCUCAGCCAAAGAGGAAAAUAUAGCGGUGGUGUUAGACAAUGCAUCCGAAUUAUGCUUUUACCAGUAUGUUUCGUAAGGUGCAUGUCACGUUGCACAAUGAAAGAAAUCACGCAGUUGAUCCUUUGUAGUGUAGCUGAAGGGGUGCUUCAAGGUGUAAUUCCAUUUUUACACUUGAAGUGCAAAAAACCCUCCAAAUUAUCUUGACCCCUCCCCCAAUAACCCCAUCUGAGGGGCGAAGACGAAGAGGCCAUUUUCUUCGUGCAAGGUGAGUUAAGGUUAUUUUCGUCCUCUUUAUAAAAUUAAUUAUAUGUAAAAAUAUAUAAACGAAGUCAAAUAUGUCGUGUAAUUACUAGUGGUGGCGAGAUGAAGCCGCAUGAAGCAUUGAACCUUUUCAGCCAAGUGGUUCACAAAAGGGUUCAUUUCUCGAGGCUUCGUUUGCAAUUUGCAAUUCACAAUACCACCUGGUGGCCAAAGAGUGUAAAACAAGCAGACACAUUACAGAUGUGCCAACUGCUCGCAUGCUUGUCAUCAAGUGCGCACUCUGCAGAGCAUGCAGUUAAUUUCGCCUGAAAUGGUACCCUCCUUGUGAAAACCCAGCUAAAGUCACUUUCGUGAUUUACUACAUAUUGUUAAGACCACUAUGUGAAAAUGCCAUGUAAAAAAUGUAAAUGAUUGAAAUCAAACUUUGAUGCUUGUCAUCUUAUAAUUGGAUUAUGAGAUAUAUCAAUCUUUGUGGUCACCUUUAUAGAGAUUGUCAGGAUAUGGCAGAAGAACCCAAUAGCAGGCAGGCAGUGAAGGGGUUAACAGAUAUAUUUAUUAAAUAAUAGACAAAACAGAAACAAAACACCCACAAUGGGGAAAACGGAACUCAGAAAUAUAUAUAUAAAACAAAAGACUUCCCACGAGGGGGCAAAACGAAAACAAGACAAAUAACUAAACUCAAAGACACGACCAAACGUCUUAAAUCAUAAAAGGCACAAAACUCACAAAACACGAACAGGAACAGGAACAGGAACACGGGCAAGAGCACGAUACAGAAACACACAGUACAGGCACCAAACACAUACAAUGCACGAGCACAAGACAAAGAAACAAGAGGGUAUUUAUAGGAAACACAAACGAGGGAUAACGACAUGGGGCAGGUGUGAGACAUUAAACACUCAGGGAAAGAUUACGAGGAAACGAGAUGGCGGGAACAGAGACGAGACACUGGAAAAACACAUGAGAGGCAUAAACAUCUCAUGGUCUUCCCACAUAAAACCCAAGAACUCUGUCCCGAUCCCACCACACGACUAGAAUUUCAUAAACAAGACGGUGGGACCGUGACAGAGAUGAAACCAUGGUUUCACUACAGCUAACGCCAAAAAAACAUGGUUACUUUAGUAAAACCAUGAUUUUGCCAAUACUAUUCAAUAGUUUAAAAAAAAAGCAGUGCUAUAUUGUUAAUUCUCAGCUGUAGGGUGUUGUUAGGCACGAUAUUAAGUAAAAUCACCAAACUCAACCAAGAUUAAUUUGAGGUUUUUAAAAUCCUUUGUCUACAGAAUUGACCCAGGCCCCUUCAGUGUCACGUCAAGAAAGCUCAGUUGAGAUUGCAAGCUGUGAAUCUGAUGACACCGUUCUUCUAAGUGAUGACAGUCCUACAAGAAAACGGAGAGCUGAAGAUGAAGCUGGAAUUCUUGUCCAGAAAAUCCUGCAAAGUAAACCUGGUGGGGAUGCAAUCAUCAGAGAAUACCACAAAACCAAAAGCCUGUCUGACAGCACCAGGAGAAAGAUGAUCAAUAUUCUUACUGCAGAUAUGACUGAAAAGCACAGGUGAGACAUUUUUGGUAUUCUUGAUUCAGUGGUUAUGAUUGCCAAAGUACAAAAAGAGACCAUUUAUUUAUAAAAAAUUCCAAUGCCAGGUAAUUUAUUAUUAUUUGCCAGUGAAAAUCAGGUAAAAUCAUUAAUCAAAAUAUGUGGGAAUGUGUUUAUCAAAGAAACGUGCUAAAAUUAAUAUUUUAUAUUUUACUAAUAUUAUUUUGACAGCACAUCUCCACCCAAACGCAUAAGAGAAAUGUAUGCCCGAGGAAUUAUCGCCCUGUUUCCAUAUCUUCGGGAUCCAUACGCGAAGCAUGGAUAUGCAAGUAAAUAUGUUGUUAAAUUUGUUAGUCACCUGUUUUACUGAAAACCUCUUUGUUUUUUUAGGAACAUUAUUAUGACCCUCAGAGCGGACAGGGGUAUUUGUCAUGGAAAAUUAAGAACAUUCAAAGGAACAGUGCACCCUCAGAGACCCGUAGAUGUGUCUCCCAGUCAUUAAGUGGUGGCCCAUCCGCACAGAGAGAAGCUUCAUCCAGCACAGAGGUUAUCCUGACAGAAGAACAGUGUAGGGAAGCUGUUUCUUUAAUGAAGCAUACUUCAGAGGUGGACACAGUAAAGGUCAAAAUGAGAGAGACGUUUCAGUAUCGUCGCAAGAUGAUUCAUGACCCGAGCAGUUGCGCUGACGUGCUGACUCAAUUUCCACGCUAUUUGGACAUUAAAGGCCUGAUUGAACUGGAUUUUGUUUUGAUUUUUGGUGAGAAGACAUCUGCCAAGUUUUUUCUACAUUUAUGCAGAAAGUCAUUCAACAAAGCAAAGGGCUUCACUUCUCCCAAGACCUUCAGGACCUGAUUGAUUCUGCAGAAUCAGCUGUGGGGAAUAAAUCAGAUGUGGACGGUAAGACUGUUCAUAACAAGUUGAUAACGAGACCAUGUAGUCAUGUCCAUGUAUUUUUUGCUUAAAAUGCCAUGUCUUUCAGUAUGGGGUAGCGGUCUUUCGAUUCUUCUCUUACUGCAUUUGAUUCCACCAUCACCACAAGGACGCAAGAGACCCGGAAAAAUGUCUUGUACAACAAUAACAAGUGUAAUGCUAUACACUCGGAAGUGUCAUUUUUAACACCUAAUGGUGCUGUAUUAACACUGCCAAUUCUACACUACGAACAGUGUUCUUUUUACUCUUGAUAGAGUGGGACCAUAUGUGCUCCUAAGAAGUGUUAAAAUCAACUCUUUAAGUGUUAAUUUGACACCGCCUUUUUUACUGUGCUCCUGAAUCCCCCAAAACAUCUUUUGAGUUCAACAGAACAAAAAAUAUACAAUACCCAGGAAACCAUUCAGAUAACCAUUCAGAUAAGUAAAUAUAGCAAUAGAAAAAUCUUUUGGCAGUUGUUAACUUUGAUUUGACACCGGAAAAUAAUUGGGCUAGUUUUCAUUCCUUUUGGGCGGGUUUUGAGGGGUCAUUGGGCUGCUUUCAGGAAGCUAGUUAGCAAGAUCCCUGUGACCAUCUGUAAAGCUAACGUUUACAUGAUGACUAGCUAGAAUUCUAUAUAAUCUAGUUCAGAGAUGGGAUGGGACUAUUUUGUAUUUAAAUACCUUUGAAAAAAAUGUAAUGUAUUUUAUAUUUAAAUGUGUUUAAUCUUAGUAUUUUUGUAUUUUCAAACUGAAAUACUUUUUGCCAAUCAACCUCCUUAUUAGACUGCGUGGAUGGGCAGUGUUUCAAAUGCAUCCAUUUGAAAUACAAAAUACUAUUAUUUUGCAAUAGUAUUUUGUAUUUAAAUGCAUUUAAUCUUAGUAUUUUUUUGUAUUUAUUUGUGUAUAGCCUAGUUAAUUCAAGAAAUCAGCAGUCUAAUAAAGAGGUUGAUUGGCAAAAAGUAUUUUGUAUUUUGAAAAUACAAAUUCAUUUUGUCAUUUUAGAAUGUUAAGUUCUACUUCUGUAGUUAUUUUGGUGAAAGUAACUCAAAAGUAAUACAGGAGUCAUGUAACGUAUUACAAUUCUGAGACAGUAAUGUUGCAAGGUAAGGGAUUACUUUUAAAUAACAGUAACAAGUAAUCUGUAAUGUAUUACAGUUUGGAAGUAACUUGCACAACACUGCUUAUAGCUGUAGUUAGUUCAUCCUUAGCAGAGCUGAGAAUACAAUCAGGUCUCACAGCAUUGAUAUGACAGAUAAUUUAUAUUAUAUAAAAAAUGUACUAAAUGUUUCUCUGUGAUAUAUAAAAUGACACAGUAUUUGGAAAUUCAAAACAGCGAUGCAGUUCUUCAAAGUCCAGAAUUGAAGUAAGGAUGCCAUCUGGUGUUCAAGUAGCGGAGCUGCAGGCACUGCCCUCAAAUAAAAUAAGCUUAAAAAUCAAACCUGUAGAAUAGUAAAUGCUAGAAUUAUAAAAUACAAUACAUAGGCUACUUUUUAUAUCUCAUGCAUACUUGAAUUUUAGUUAUUAUUAGACAUUAAAUUGUUACUAUUGGAUUGUUUGAAGGACAGCAUGUGUAACGUUGUCAUGACACCUGCACGAGUCCAAAAGCGACUCAAUGUUGAUCAAAGCUGAUGAUGAUGUCGUGGACAGACACACAUGAAAAACAAAGUCAGCAGUGGCCAGAGGAUGUGUCAAAUGUACAUAUCCCCCAACAACCUGUAAGUUUUCUUUGUGUUUUAAAGGCUGUGGUUCAACAACGCUUAGAUAUAGUAGCCUAUAUGUCAUGUUAAAGCAGAAUUGAUCAUAGUUACUUGUGGAAAAUUUGCAUUUGUGGAAUUCUGCUUUCAUAUUUAGAUCUACAUAUACAAUUAUGUUGUGUCUGCAUUACUGUAAUGGUAAAUUUAAAAAAUUUAAUGGUAAAAUAAAAUAAAAAACAGUUAAUGACUUUCUUAUGUUAUAAAACUAGCCCCAUAUGAAUAGUGCUGCCUACAGUGUGAUAUUUCAUAGUUUUUAGCAUAUGCUGAUAUGAUUUCAGAGGAAGCCCUUGAUGUUUACUACCAUUAUUACCCCUAUGGACCCGGCCUGUGUUACCGAGGCUACCUGUGCUGAUCCAGGCUUCACCUCCUCUUCUCCAGAACACCCAAAACCCAUCACUUACAUUUUGUCAUUUAGCAGACGCUUUUAUCCAAAGCUACUUACAGAGAGUUCAGGGAGCAAUAAAGUGAUGUGUCAUACAGGAGCAUUAACAGGCUCGGAUUAAGAAUUCAGAGGCCCCUGGGCACAAGUGUUUUAUGGGCCCCACAUACACAUGCACACAAUAAAGUUUUUAAUUAGCCUAUAGGGUACCAUGUGUAUAAACACCUCUAUCUUUUACAGGAUUACAUUGACAAGUUACAAACUAUGAUCACAACCUGAAGGACAAUAUCAACACCUGUACACAUCCUCCAUCAUACAGGAUUUACACCUCAUGAUUGCAACAAUGCUUUUCUGGACCAGCUGCAACAAUAUUAAGACAUUUCCCUGCAUACUGUAACUCACUGGCAUAUGCAAGCAGCACACACUACCACACCUCUAUCAAUUCAGUUCCAUAAUUCAGAUUCUUCCAUAAUUCACACACAAACAUGCAGGAUUUACAAAACUGUUCUUAAGAGAAAAUAUAAGAACUUUCUUAAGAUAAAUUACAGAAAGUUUUUAAGAAUAUUCUUAAGUGCAAUUUUCAAAUAUUUUCAUCUUUAUUUUUCUAAGAAUAAAUGGGCAGUCUUUGUCAAUGAUUGUACUUCAAGAGUAAUUUGUCUAUUUGUUAAACUUAUUUGUAUAACACAAGCACCUUGCGACUCACGUUCUUAUUUAAGAUGUAAUGUGUUACAGUAAACGGCAUUAACGAGUAUUAUAAGUAUAAUUCUUUAGCCUAUAUGUUACGACAUCAUCAUAUUUGUGCGUAUGUCAACAUUUUGCAAUGUAUGUGGAUUAUCUAAUAAUGAAGGCUUAAUAUUGGUAAAGUAGGGCAGUUACUGAUCAACAUUAUAUCAAUAUAAAAUAAUUCAUAAUUGGCAAGGAAGCACCACCAAAUAAAUGUAAAAAACGCUUACCUUUUAAGAUUUAAGACAGCCGCGAGGGUAUAUCAACUCAUAUUUACAACAAUAAAACCGUUCUCAUUGACAUAGCCUACUGUGUUUUCAGUUUCUGUUGUCAGUUCAUAACGCGACAUCGUCUAACAACUCACAAUAAAAAGCGGUGAUUUCGGCUAAAGUUAAAUGUUCUUUCACACAGCCUCGUGGUAACCAUGUGCAUAUUUACGGAUGAAAUUUGUUCAUGUUUAUAUAUCCAAACAGUCGAUAACAGUGACAGGUUCUUGGAAACGCUGUUUUGUACUCAUUUUAUUCACGAGUCACCUGUCGUACGGUGGUGCUUCUUCCUGCCACUCACUGUACAGAGUGACGCCGAGAGAAGGGAUCCCUGCGCCGGGAAAGAGAGACCUCGCGCUCGCGGGGCAGAACUAUGGGAUUCCUUUUGUGCCAAUAAGAAUGAACGCAAACUUUUAAAAAACGAACAAAAAUAUACAGUGAGAAAGAAAAAAAACACUUUGAUAAUGAAAACAAUAAACUCAGUUGCAAGAAUGUGACAUGAUUUCUUAACAAUUUUCUAAGUUUCGUUUUUGCAAAUAAUAGUUUUGAAUUCGCUGCUAGAUUUUUCAUUUGCGCUUUCCGAGUUUUCGUUUACGCUUCUCAAUUUUUCGUUCGCCUUUCUGGCACAAAGCUCACGUGUGGGCGGGAUUUAUGGCCACUUUACUCUCAUUGGUUAGUGAGAUUUGGAUUGACAGCUCCCUGACCAGGAAGUCGAAACUGAAGACAGUGCAGCGGAUUAGAGAGCAAUCUGCUUGCGGUUUUCUGUAUAGUAUUGUUUUAGUGUUUGUACUUAAAUUACUUUCUUAUUUUGUUAGUAUAUUAGCAGGGUUGCCAACUUUCACGCACUUAAAAGUGGGACACGCUUCCAGGCUCUAUCACGCCGUAACAACAAGCCAACGUCGACUAAAGACAGGAUAGAUAACGUUAGCCAUAUUCACAUGCAACUUUACGUGUGUUUAGAGGCCGUCAAGACAGCAGUCUAUAAUUUAUAAUUACAAUGAUAUCAGGAAAACGAGAUGCCUAGUGAGUUUUGAGGAGAUAUACAAUAAAGUGUUAUGCUUCCAGUUCAUAUUUCUAAUUUAUACAUUAUAAUCGUGGUGGCAUUUUAUGUAUUGUUUCUAUCUUUAAAUGUUUGUUUAUAGUUUAAGAAGUCUCUCUUCUGCUUUUCUCUAACCUGUUUUAUGUAGGUGUGUAAAUACAUAAUGAAAUUGAUGUUUGCAAGAGGCAGACUAAAUGAAUAAAACAUUCAUAAGGCCUCUAAUUAUGUCACCUUAUGAAUUUGUUUUGUUGUAGCGUUUAAAAAACAUAAAUGUCAUUUGAAUGUAUUGGUAGUGUUUUAUGAGGUGUACUUUCUGUGAAUGUAAUGAAAGGGGUAUAAUACUGUACAUUCACCAUGAGUUUAAAAAGAAAGAUACAGUACUUGACUUAUAAGUGGACUUAAUUCUUUAAAAGGAGACUGUAUGCAAGAGCGACAUCGUCAUCCUCCUCCUCAGCUGGACACAAGUCACCCUCAGGUACAUUUAUGUAACCGAGAUAAUAAAAUCGCUAAAAGUUUUAAUCUCUGUACAGUAACUAUGCAGCAAUGUUUUCAUUUAGCACGUUAAUUUCUCACAACCCAAUAAUCUGUAACAUGUCUUUAUUGGAUGUUAUGAUGCAAGU